GGCAUGAUGGCCGAGCGGUCUAAGGCGCCAGAAUCAGGUUACAUAAUCAAUCAAUCUGGUCCUUCGGGGCGGGAGUUCGAAUCUCCCUCAUGUCA
rnacentral:tRNA from 1 species